rnacentral:rRNA from 1 species
AGAGCUGGAGAGCCGGGUAAAGAAGGAGAAGAAGGGGGAGGGAGACUGAAAGGAGUAGAAGUAAGCGGUCUGUUGACACAGCUGCCCUCUACGACCUCUGCUAUGUGCCGUCCCACAGAACGACACUCUUCGAAGGCAGCAGCCCCGCGCGAGGCUACGACGGCCUCCUCCGCGACAGCACGAGCGGACGCGCGCGUUCGACGCCCAAAAAACGUGCUCGACCGAGGUUCCCGGCCCGCGAUGUUGAACUCCUCGAGGUUCGGCUGAUGGACAACACCGAGAGGCCUCAAUGAGUACGCUGCGCCCUUCCUUCAGCGGUACCUUGUUGGGGCGGCGGAACCUCGAGCGGGGCGGAGGCCGGGUGGUGGAGAGGCAGCCGGAGCACCAGGAGGCGGAGCUAGGCAGGCGACCUAGGUGCGCGCCUCGUCGGCAUAGGCGGCGGGUCUGGUGGUUGGUUCUCAGCGGAGAACGGACAGUACGCCAGCCCUCCUCCUGCUGGCUCUCCUCGCGGGUAAGUAGGCGGCGGAACCUCGAGCGGGACGGAAGCCCGGCCGUGGAGAGGCAGCCGAAGCUAGGCAGGCGGGGCGGCGGGUCUGGUGGUUGGUUCGCGGCGGAGAACGGACAGGACACCAACGUCCAGUUUAUUAUUUUUGACGUCCCAGGAAAUACAUUUUUGCUUAGCAAAAAAGCCUAAUCGGUGAAUUUUUAUCCUGGCGCCCAGCUUAAGAGACUUUGUCUACCUGAAAAUACGUUUUAGCGCGCGCUGCUGCAUGUCCGUCUUUGGGUUAAGAGAAAUAA